UCCCCUAAAUCUGACUAGGUGGAGAACUUUCCCUUUUGCGAAGAAAAAGCUUCUCUAUUGGCCAAACCACCACAUCCUUGACUGCAUUUGCUAUUGGGUGAGUUUAACGUCGCUCUCCUAGUCAUUGAUUUCGAUCUGUUGGGAGAACUUGAGGAAGUCUGAUAUUUGUCUAUCACUGCCGCUGCUACGGUGUUCGAUUAACGUCUCUCGGGAGAAGCUGCGAAACUCUCUGCUACUGGGUGGGAGUAGAAGAUGUGUAAGAAAGUUUAUGUUGUCUUUGAGGGUCACAACCACUGUUAGUUAAAACGGGAACGGCAAAAAAACAGAAACGUACGGUACGGGUUUUAAACAGAUAAAAACGAUAAACGGUAC